rnacentral:lncRNA from 1 species
UUUUUUUGUCCUUUGGGAAUUUUUUCCAGGAAUUUCCCGGGGUUUUUUUCCAGGUGGUUUUUUUUUUCCCCAAAAUUUUUCCAGGAUUUUUUAUUUCUUCUCGUUUUUAUUUUUUCCAGGAAUUUUUUUCUUUUCUUCGUUCCCAAAAUUCCUCAUUUUCCAAAGGUUUUUCUUGGAAUUUUUCUGAGUUUUUUUCCAGAAUCUUUCCAAGGUUUUUCCAAGUUUUUUUCCGGAAUUUUCCCCAAGUUUUUUCCUGGAAUUUUUCCCAGAAUUUUUCCAAGAUUUUUCCUGAAAUUUUUCCGAAGUUUUUCCUGGAAUUUUUCCAAGAUUUUUCCAAGGUUUUUCCUGGAAUUUUUCCGAGUUUUAUUCCAGAAUUUUUCCAAGGUUUUUUCCGGAUUUUUUCCAAGGUUUUUCCUGGAGUUUUUCCCCGAAUUUUUCCAAGGUUUUUCCUGAAUUUUUCCAAAGUUUUUCCUGGAAUUUUUCCGAGUUUUUUUCCAGAAUUUUUCCAAGGUUUUUUCUGGAAUUUUUCCCAAAAUUUUUCCAAGAUUUUUUCUGGAGUUUUUCCCGGAAUUUUUCUGAGGUUUUUCCUGGAAUUUUCCCAAGGUUUUUCCGAAGUUUUUCCUGGAAUUUUUCCAAGGUUUUUCCUCAAAUUUUUCCAAGGUUUUUCCUGGAAUUUUCCCAUUUCCGGUCGUUUCCUCCAUGGAUUUUCCCUCUUUAAUUCCAACUCUNUUCUGUUUUUUUUUUGUAGGAAAACCCAAAAAACUGGAAAAAAAAAAAACAACAAAAAACCACCACGAAUUCUAAAAGGGCUACGAGGAAAGGGGGGGAAAAACGGGAAAGGAGGAGAAGGAAAAAUGGGGAAAAAAGGGAAAAAAUCGGGAAAAAAAAUUCCCAAGAAAAGGAAAAAAAAUUGAGAAAAAACUGGGAAAAAUUGGAAAAAAAAUUGGGAGAAAAUUGAAAAAAAAUGGGAAAAAUUUGGAAAAAAAUUGGGAAAAAAAUUGAAAAAAAUCGGGAAAAAAAUGGGGAAAAAUUUGAGAAAAAAUUGGGAAAAAAUUGAAAAAAAUUUGAGUAAAAAUGAGGAGAAAUUGAAAAAAAAUUGGGAAAAAAUUUGAGAAAAAAUUGGGAAAAAAUGGAAAAGAAAUGGGAAAAAAUUUGAGAAAAAAUGGGGAAAAACUGAAAAAAGGGUAAAAAUUGAAAAAAAAUGGGGAAAAAUGGAAAAAAAAUUGGGAAAAAAUCUGGAAAAAAUUUGAAAAUAAAAUGGGGGAAAAAUUGAAAAAAACUAAGAAA